ensembl:snoRNA SNORA73 Small nucleolar RNA SNORA73 family
UCAACAUGGUGACCCUGGCAGGUCACUCUUCCCAGGCUCUGUCUUAGUGUUAUAGGAGAGCAUAGGACUCUGCCCCAUGAUAUACAGGCCCUUUCCACAACAUUAGAAAUGAGACUGGACUGACUGGACUCUCUGUCUGUGCCAGCGCAUUCCUCUGACUUUCCAGAGUCCUGUGGACAAUGACUAAGGAGACAAAGCACGCAGGAAGCAGUC